UAAGUCGACCGCCUGGGGAGUACGGCCGCAAGGUUAAAACUCAAAUGAAUUGACGGGGGCCCGCACAAGCGGUGGAGCAUGUGGUUUAAUUCGAUGCAACGCGAAGAACCUUACCUGGUCUUGACAUCCACGGAAGUUUUCAGAGAUGAGAAUGUGCCUUCGGGAACCGUGAGACAGGUGCUGCAUGGCUGUCGUCAGCUCGUGUUGUGAAAUGUUGGGUUAAGUCCCGCAACGAGCGCAACCCUUAUCCUUUGUUG
rnacentral:rRNA from 1 species